UUGGAGGGCAAGUCUGGUGCCAGCAGCCGCGGUAAUUCCAGCUCCAAUAGCGUAUAUUAAAGUUGUUGCAGUUAAAAAGCCCGUAGUUGAAUUUCGGGGUUAGCAGGUUGGUCGUGCCACUGGUAUGAACUGGCCUUGCUGAUUCCUCCCUCUUGAUGAGCCGUAAUGCCAUUAAUUUGGUGUUGCGAGGAAUCAGGACUGUUACUUUGAAAAAAUUAGAGUGUUUAAAGCAGGCAAGCGCUUGAAUACAUUAGCAUGGAAUAAUGAAAUAGGACGUUUGAUCUUAUUUUGUUGGUUUCUAAGAUUGACGUAAUGAUUAAUAGGGAUAGUUGGGGGCAUUAGUAUUCAAUUGUCAGAGGUGAAAUUCUUGGAUUUAUUGAAGACUAACUACUGCGAAAGCAUUUGCCAAGGAUGUUUUCAUUAAUCAAGAACGAAAGUUAGGGGAUCGAAGACGAUCAGAUACCGUCGUAGUCUUAACCAUAAACUAUGCCGACUAGGGAUCGGAUGAUGUUAAUUUUUUAAUGACUCAUUCGGCGCCUUACGGGAAAC
rnacentral:rRNA from 1 species